GCUUAGAAGAGUGUAUCCAGGAAGUUUGCUAAACUGGGAAGUACCGGUCUCAGAAAGCCACAAAUGACAAAACAGAUAUCCAUAGAGUACAGAAAAGAGAGGAGUCCUGGGAAAUGCUCACAACAAGCAGAAGGUUCCUGUGAUUCAGAUGGACUAUCCUAUCCUUGAAUAGGUUAGGAUCACACGCUGGUUAAUGACAUCAAGACUGUCUUGUGGGUGCAUUUGGCUAUUCCUGCAGGCAAGGUCAGCUAUUUCUGUCUAAUUUACACAUAAGAUAGUAGGCUUGAGGAUUUGUUUGUUCA